UUAAAAUGAGAGUUUGAUCCUGGCUCAGGACGAACGCUGGCGGCGUGCCUAAUACAUGCAAGUCGAACGAAACUUUCUUACACCGAAUGCUUGUAUUCACCGUAAGAAGUUGAGUGGCGGACGGGUGAGUAACACGUGGGUAACCUGCCUAAAAGAAGGGGAUAACACUUGGAAACAGGUGCUAAUACCGUAUAUCUCUAAGGGUCGCAUGAUCCUUAGAUGA
rnacentral:rRNA from 1 species